GUCCUUGUAGCUUACCAAAAGCAUAACACUGAAGAUGUUAAGACGGUAGCUACACGCACCCAAGGACA
rnacentral:tRNA from 1 species